rnacentral:rRNA from 1 species
UACGAAGGUGGCAAGCGUUGUCCGGAUUUACUGGGUGUAAAGGGCGUGUAGGCGGGAUGAUAGGUCAGAUGUGAAAUGCCCAGGCUCAACCUGGGAGCUGCAUUUGAAACCAUUAUUCUUGAGUGUCGGAGAGGGAAGUGGAAUUCCUAGUGUAGCGGUGAAAUGCGUAGAGAUUAGGAGGAACACCAGUGGCGAAGGCGACUUUCUGGACGAUAACUGACGCUGAGGCGCGAAAGCGUGGGGAGCAAACAGG